UCCGGUUUGGCACCGGCAGUCUCCUAUGAGUCCCCGACAUGACUCGCUGGCAACAUAGGACAGGGGUUGCGCUCGUUGCGCCACUUAAGGCAACACCUCACGGCACGAGCUGACGACAGCCAUGCACCACCUGUGCGGGCUCCGAAGAGCGCCGUGUUUCCACGGCUUCACCCCGCAUGUCAAGUCCUGGUAAGGUUCUUCGCGUUGCGUCGAAUUAAGCCACAUGCUCCGCCGCUUGUGCGGGCCCCCGUCAAUUCCUUUGAGUUUCAACCUUGCGGCCGUAGUCCCCAGGCGGAGUACUUAAUGCGUUAGCGACGGCACCGAGGGGGUCGAUACCCCCGACACCUAGUACUCAUCGUUUACGGCGUGGACUAC
rnacentral:misc_RNA from 1 species